UGUUGAAAAGCUUUGAGAAAUGUUAUAUGUGAAAUGGAAGAAAACAUGAUUCAGUGAGCAGGACAUGGGAAAUCCAAAUGAAAUGAAAAAAAGGAUGUGGCACAUUUUUAUUCAAGAAUCAUUUUGGUGUUCUCACAUGGACAGGAAGAUGAUGUGAAAUUUCAUUCUUUAUAUAGUCAAAUAAGGCAGAGCAUCGUAUCAAUAGCACAAACUCUGGAAACAUCAUGAAGGGGCUGCUUGUUCUGUACUCUAGAGAGGCCUUGGUUUCCUGUUGAACCUCUGCCUUUGCCAGCUCCCUGUUUUGUCCUGAUGCCCAAUGCAGCAGUAAGUGGAAUGGGAGACACUGCACGAGGAUGGCCAUUGCUGAAGUGCAUGUGUUGCAUCACGUGUUGCUCAUCAGGUAUGUAUAGGAGAGACUUGAAAGAGGAUUAUUUCUUGCUGGAGCUUUAAACUGAGAGCCCAUUAUGGAACCUUUUGAGGUGAGCUUCGCUGGCUUUAGAGAACUUAAAAUAGUAGAAAUAGUAAGAUACUAAGAUAGGAUUUUUAAAACUUAGAGCUACUUCUUUUGCCUUCUCGAGCAUGAUCUGAUAAAACUUUAGUAAAAAUGCCCAGAUGGACAGCUUUUCUUGCAUGCAUCAGCCUUUAUAUCAUUAUGUAGUAAUGUCUAAGAUCAGCUGUGAGUCAGUUUU
rnacentral:lncRNA from 1 species